GCUGGCGGCAUGCCUAACACAUGCAAGUCUAGGGGGUAGCAAUCCCACUGGCGCACGGGUGAGUAACACGUAGGUUAUCUGCCCCCAUCACAGACAUAACCCCGGGAAACCGGGGCUAAUAUCUGAUGAGGUCGCGAGAUCAAAGCUUCGGCGGAUGGGAAUGAGCCUGCGGCUGAUUAGCUAGUUGGUGAGGUAAUGGCUCACCAAGGCGACGAUCAGUAGCUGGUCUGAGAGGACGAACAGCCACACUGGAACUGAGACACGGUCCAGACUCCUACGGGAGGCAGCAGUGGGGAAUUUUGGACAAUGGGGGCAACCCUGAUCCAGCCAUGCCGCGUGAGUGAAGAAGGCCUUCGGGUUGUAAAGCUCUUUCGGCCGGGAAGAAAUCGCAUGGAAGAAUACCCUGUGCGGAUGACGGUACCGGCAUAAGAAGCUUUAAGGGACUACGUGCCAGCAGCCGCGGUAAUA
rnacentral:rRNA from 1 species